AUUGAACGCUGGCGGCAUGCCUUACACAUGCAAGUCGAACGGCAGCACGGGAGCAAUCCUGGUGGCGAGUGGCGAACGGGUGAGUAAUGUAUCGGAACGUACCUUUCAGUGGGGGGAUAACGUAGCGAAAGUUACGCUAAUACCGCAUAUUCUGUGAGCAGGAAAGCAGGGGAUCGCAAGACCUUGCGCUGAUUGAGCGGCCGAUAUCAGAUUAGCUAGUUGGUGAGGUAAAGGCUCACCAAGGCGACGAUCUGUAGCGGGUCUGAGAGGAUGAUCCGCCACACUGGAACUGAGACACGGUCCAGACUCCUACGGGAGGCAGCAGUGGGAAUUUUGGACAAGUGGGCGCAAGCCUGAUCCAGCCAUGCCGCGUGAGUGAAGAAGGCCU
rnacentral:rRNA from 1 species